UAAGCCAGAAAGGAGUCGCCUUUACGCGCGUCCCCCUCUGUCAAAGUACGAACCCGCUGGACAUACCCGUUAUAUAAAACUGUUUCUCGACCCUUCCGCGCCAUUCCGGUACGACGCUUGUUAGUGUAAAGAGCUCCGACAAAAAUGACUGGAUGCAGUGUAUUCGGCUGUAAAAAAAGGUCUGACACAUCGAGUGUACAAAAAGACAACGUGACAUUUCAUCUAUUUCCAAAAGACCCUAUCCGUCGACAACAAUGGAUAAAAGCUUGUGAAAAUCACAGAACAUGGCUACCCAAACGUACAAGUAAAGUUUGCUCCGAUCAUUUUGAUACGUCAUGUUUCUUGUUGCUGGCUAACAACAAAAGAAAAUUAAAGGAAUCAGCAACACCUACUUUUAAAUUACCAAAUGCUGACUUCGAAAAACCAACCGAUUGCCAACCAGCGAAAAAAAUGAGAUUUGAGUCUGAAACCUCGGCUAGUUCACCACCCCACUCAUCAACUUUUCGCUCUGAGUUAUCAACAAAUCAUGUUUCACCUACUACAAGUACUAAUGUUUCUUGUUAUAAAUUGGACCAAGAAACACCACGAAAACGGAAAUUAAGAAGAAUAUUAGUUCAAAAAAACAAACAAAUUAAAAGACUUCAGUCGAAAACACGAUAUUUAAAAAAGAAAGUUGCUAGUUUAAAAGAAAUACUU